UUGAGCGACGAGGCCCGCAAGGGUUGCUUCGAGCGGCGAAAGGGAGAGUAAUGCACGGGUAAGCCUGCCCUAGGGACUGGGAUAGCCGCGGGAAACUGCGGGUAAUACCAGAUGACGUCUGAUAGCUUCGGCUGUCGGACCAAAGGUGCGAGUCCGCCUAGGGAGGGGCCCGUGUCCUAUCAGCUAGUUGGUGGGGUAACGGCUCACCAAGGCUACGACGGGUACGGGGUGUGAGAGCAUGUCCCCGCUCACUGGGACUGAGACACUGCCCAGACACCUACGGGUGGCUGCAGUCGAGAAUCUUCGGCAAUGGGCGCAAGCCUGACCGAGCGACGCCGCGUGCGGGACGAAGGCCGUUGUGUUGUAAACCGCUGUCAGGGGGGAGGAAAUGUCGGCCCUCAGGGUCGGCUUGACCUAUCCCCAGAGGAUGGACGGGCUAAGUCCGUGCCAGCAGCCGCGGUAAGACGGACCGUCCGAACGUUACUCGGAAUUACUGGGCUUAAAGGGCGCGUAGGCGGCCUUGCAAGUCGGGUGUGAAAGCCCUCGGCUUAACCGAGGAAUUGCGCUCGAUACUGCGAGGCUCGAGGGAGAUAGAGGUGAGCGGAACUUGCGGUGGAGCGGUGAAAUGCGUUGAUAUCGCAAGGAACACCGGAGGCGAAAGCGGCUCACUGGGUCUCUCCUGA
rnacentral:rRNA from 1 species